GCCGGAGUGGCGGAAUAGGUAGACGCACAGGACUUAAAAUCCUGCGAGCUGCAAAGCUUGUGCCGGUUCGAUUCCGGCCUGAUGUU
rfam:Candidate division TA06 bacterium 34_109 MPJ_scaffold_3918, whole genome shotgun sequence.